GACGGAGGAUGCAAGCGUUAUCCGGAAUGAUUGGGCGUAAAGCGUCCGCAGGUGGCAGUUCAAGUCUGCUGUCAAAGUCCAGGGCUCAACCCUGGAAGGCCGGUGGAAACUGUCGGGCUAGAGUCCGGAAGAGGCGAGUGGAAUUCCCGGUGUAGCGGUGAAAUGCGCAGAUAUCGGGAGGAACACCAAUGGCGAAGGCAGCUCGCUGGGACGGUACUGACGCUGAGACGCGAAAGCGUGGGGAGCAAACAGG
rnacentral:rRNA from 1 species